GCUGCAUGGUGGUGCAGCUGGUAGCACUGUUGCCCUACAGCAAGAAGUUCCUGGGUUUGAAUCCCAGCCUGGGCU